rnacentral:rRNA from 1 species
UACGUAGGGGGCUAGCGUUGUCCGGAAUCAUUGGGCGUAAAGCGCGUGUAGGCGGCCCGGUAAGUCCGCUGUGAAAGUCGGGGGCUCAACCCUCGGAUGCCGGUGGAUACUGUCGGGCUCGAGUACGGAAGAGGCGAGUGGAAUUCCUGGUGUAGCGGUGAAAUGCGCAGAUAUCAGGAGGAACACCAAUUGCGAAGGCAGCUCGCUGGGACGUAACUGACGCUGAGACGCGAAAGCCAGGGGAGCGAACGGG